UCAUCAGUUAGGAAUAAUCCUUUCCUGUUACCUCUUCGGAGGUAGCAAGAUGAAGAUGAUGAGAUGUCUUGGAUGAUCAAUGAUUACUCCAUGGGAGUGGGGAAUAUGACAACCCCCCAUAACCCCAUCUCUGAU
rnacentral:snoRNA from 15 species